ACGGGAGGCAGCAGUGGGGAAUAUUGGACAAUGGGGGAAACCCUGAUCCAGCGACGCCGCGUGAGUGAAGAAGUAUUUCGGUAUGUAAAGCUCUAUCAGCAGGGAAGAUAAUGACGGUACCUGACUAAGAAGCCCCGGCUAACUACGUGCCAGCAGCCGCGGUAAUACGUAGGGGGCAAGCGUUAUCCGGAUUUACUGGGUGUAAAGGGAGCGUAGACGGCUGUGCAAGUCUGAAGUGAAAUCCGCGGGCUCAACCCGUGAACUGCUUUGGAAACUGCAUAGCUAGAGUGCAGGAGGGGUAAGUGGAAUUCCUAGUGUAGCGGUGAAAUGCGUAGAUAUUAGGAGGAACACCAGUGGCGAAGGCGGCUUACUGGACCGUAACUGACGUUGAGGCUCGAAAGCGUGGGGAGCAAACAGGAUUAGAUACCCUGGUA
rnacentral:rRNA from 1 species